UCACAGUUUGCACUGGCAGUCUCGUUAGAGUUCCCGGCAUGACCCGCUGGCAACUAACGAUAGGGGUUGCGCUCGUUAUAGGACUUAACCUGACACCUCACGGCACGAGCUGACGACAACCAUGCAGCACCUUGAAAGACGUCCGAAGAAAAAACUGUUUCCAGUCCUGUCGUCUCCCAUUUAAGCCCUGGUAAGGUUCCUCGCGUAUCAUCGAAUUAAACCACAUGCUCCUCCGCUUGUGCGGGCCCCCGUCAAUUCCUUUGAGUUUCAUUCUUGCGAACGUACUCCCCAGGUGGGAUACUUAUCACUUUCGCUUAGCCACUCAGAUUGCUCCGAACAGCUAGUAUCCAUCGUUUACGGCGUGGACUAC
rnacentral:misc_RNA from 1 species